AGCAGGGGCUGUUGGGCCCACAGCACCCACCCCAGCUGAGCUCUUGGGCCAGACACAGGCCUCCCCCAGCCUGUUCCCCUCCCCACAGGCAGAAGACAAUACAAGAUGUGGCUGCAUGACAAUGGAUCUGAAUGGAGCUCACAGUUUGGACAAUGCUGAUGCUAACAAGAACCCCAGCAGCUGUGGCCUGUGUCCACUGCCAGGAUUUCCCCACCCAGACUCUCAGUUCCCUGGUGAGGCAAGAGAGCUGAGUUCAGAAUUGGAGAAGAUACCACAUGCUGAGGCAUGGAUCUCACCACUGAGGAACUUGGUGAUGAACCCUAAGAAUGGAUGCGUUCAUUCCAACUGAGGUGAAACUCGCAUCGCCAUGCAGAGGGACAUGCCUGCUUGUCGUGAGGAUGCAGUCGGCACGGUCACACCUCACACACUGCAUUCCACCUCCCUAGCCUCCCUCCCUUUCCUCCUUCUCCCGAAUAAAGUGUUAGCACGUUA